rnacentral:rRNA from 1 species
AUUGAACGCUGGCGGCAGGCUUAACACAUGCAAGUCGAGCGGAGAUGAGGUGCUUGCACCUUAUCUUAGCGGCGGACGGGUGAGUAAUGCUUAGGAAUCUGCCUAUUAGUGGGGGACAACAUUCCGAAAGGAAUGCUAAUACCGCAUACGUCCUACGGGAGAAAGCAGGGGAUCUUCGGACCUUGCGCUAAUAGAUGAGCCUAAGUCGGAUUAGCUAGUUGGUGGGGUAAAGGCCUACCAAGGCGACGAUCUGUAGCGGGUCUGAGAGGAUGAUCCGCCACACGGGGACUGAGACACGGCCCAGACUCCUACGGGAGGCAGCAGUGGGGAAUAUUGGACAAUGGGGGAAACCCUGAUCCAGCCAUGCCGCGUGUGUGAAGAAGGCCUUAUGGUUGUAAAGCACUUUAAGCGAGGAGGAGGCUACUGAGACUAAUACUCUUGGAUAGUGGACGUUACUCGCAGAAUAAGCACCGGCUAACUCUGUGCCAGCCGCCGCCGCGG